rnacentral:rRNA from 1 species
UACGGGGGGGGCAAGCGUUGUUCGGAAUUACUGGGCGUAAAGGGCUCGUAGGUGGCCAACUAAGUCAGACGUGAAAUCCCUCGGCUUAACCGGGGAACUGCAUCUGAUACUGGAUGGCUUGAGAUUGGGAGAGGGAUGCGGAAUUCCAGGUGUAGCGGUGAAAUGCGUAGAUAUCUGGAGGAACACCGGUGGCGAAGGCGGCAUCCUGGACCGGCAUUGACGCUGAGGCGCGAAAGCUAGGGUAGCAAACGGG